rnacentral:lncRNA from 1 species
CCCGGAUUAGCCCAAUCAAUUCUGUUCUUUAUUUACUAGUUGAGAGCACUGGGCUGUGUACUAUGCCCUUAUUCUGAUAUUAAUGAGUAAAAGACCUAUGUCCUGGGGGUAUCCUUCAAUCCUUACUUAUUAACCGGGUAUCCUGGCAUCCUCUACUUUCAUUAGUGCAAUUCUUUAUUACUAGUUCGAUGCUCCCCUGCUCUCUCAGAGAGUUUGAUUCACGAGUCCAAUUCUUAUCGUUAGUAGUUUGAUGCGCUACAACGUACCCAUAUUACAAGUUUUGUUUUUGGCCUAAAAGCCUGUAAGGGUAGCUUUAUAGUAAGCAUUGUGGGAAUGAAAUACAGGAUAUCCAAACGACUAUUUAGGGAAGAUACCCAGGCUGAGAUACAGUAAAGCUGGGUUCUAGAUCAGUAGCUAAAGAACCAAAGUAUUGAUUUGAAGAGUUAGGUCAAGUAAAGUAGGGCGAAAAGACAGGAGAAGAAGGGGCUUACUAUUAGGGUGCUCGGCCAGGUGGUAGAUCGAAUGCAGACUCAGUGGCUAAAGGAGUUCGAAAUGAAUAAGUAAUUAGGGACGGCCAAGCGGAGUCCAAUUUCCAUUCAGGAGUUGCACCAUAGGAACUUAUGAAACACUCAACAGCUUGUCCCGCUUCUGCUCCUUGUGAUGUAGUUAUUGUUUCAUUUGAUAAAGAAAUAGGUCACUAAAGAGUUAGCUUCAAAACAAGUACUUUCUGCCUCCCCUCACUCGACUUAAAGUUCAUCCAAAUUUGAUACAUCUUUUGCACUUGGCAUAGAUUUGGGUAAGGAUAAAGCUCCUUCUUUUGUCGACCUAUAUCCCUGAAGUUCAGAAUGGAAUUGGAUUUCAGAGCACAUGGUUUAUAUAGAUCUAAGUACUGAACUGGGCGAACUUAACUCAACAGUACUAUCUACUUCAUAAUUAAUAGAAUCUUUGACUUUAUCAUCUUAUACUUGCGCAUUAGGAGUGUAGUCGGCCCCCACAGCUUCCGCGCGGUCAACUAAAAUGAGGGAACUAAACUUCCCUAGCACCGCAUAUUCUCUCGUAGAUAACAUUCGAACAGGCAAUUCAGCUGCCGACUUGCGCACUGCUUUAGAUCCUGUUUCUUAUCCUUCAGUUGGUGGCUAUAAUCAAAGGGCAACAAAUCAAUAAUUGGAUCUAUCUCUUGUGCGUGCAUAUAUAUAUCAAUAUUUAUUGGAAUGUCAUCUCCCUUCCCGUUACUUGUGAGUCUUGCCCGAACUCACGUUACUUUAAUGCUUGGACCACACCUCGCUUACUUAUACUUCUGUUAUAGUUAAAGUCAGUUACUUUUAUCUAUUAGCAGGAGCAGGGGAAUAAACAAGGUCGGUCGGAGUGCCUAUCUUCAACAAGACUCAGUGCGGCAAAAGGUUAGUGUUUCCAGUGGCAGAGCUAGAGGGCAAAGCAAAGAUGAUAGGCGUCAAUGCAUUUGUUGGACAGAGCAAGAAGACAGAAAAAUGGAGACUUGGACACUGAAUCACUUACCGCUGUGCUUACCUUGGCUUCUUAUUCCAGAGUAGCAAACAAGGACGAUGGAUGAACACUAGC